UACGUAGGGGGCGAGCGUUGUCCGGAUUUAUUGGGCGUAAAGAGCUCGUAGGCGGUUUGGCAAGUCGGGUGUGAAAACUCCGGGCUCAACUCGGAGACGCCACUCGAUACUGCUAUGACUCGAGUCCGGUAGGGGAGUGCGGAAUUCCUGGUGUAGCGGUGAAAUGCGCAGAUAUCAGGAGGAACACCGGUGGCGAAAGCGGCUCUCUGGGACGGUACUGACGCUGAGACGCGAAAGCGUGGGGAGCAAACAGG
rnacentral:rRNA from 1 species